AUCAAACACCACCCCCUCAGACAGGCUUCCAUUCACAUCUCUCUAAAGUCAAGAAAAUUACAUCCCUCCCAGAAUGCGAAGAUAUAAACAUGCUCUAAGGAGGUAUGACAGCUAUGCUCAAGAUUCAGGUGCUCAGAUAAUUAGACGAGAAUCCUUGAAGGAGAACUAGGAUUACAGUUACUGUUCUUUAAGCUUAAAAUGAGCUUCAAUCAAGAGGAAGAAGGAAAAUUGCUUAAGUCAGACCCGACAGCUAAAGCUGCACAUCUGGCAGUGGUGAGUGGCCCUCAGUCUCCACUGAGGGACACUGAGUGUCUCCAGCAUCUCAAUAGGAAGCUUCCUGCAGACCAACUAUAAUCUAUUGGCACCCAAGUGGGGAGUUUCUAUGGGCCAGCUUCAACCCAUGACACCCUAGUAAAAGUCACCAACAUCCGAACAUGUGACCUCCUGCAGACCAGCUCUGGCCCACAGGACCCAGUGAAGUUCUCUGCUCUUCAGCAGGUAGCAGUUGUGCCCUCUCCAGUGGGGUCAAAAAUCUCAGCCAUUGGUAUGAGCUGGUGCUUUUCAAACUUUUAGCUCCUUCUCUGGGUAUUCUUUUUUACCUUAGGAGUAUAACUGCCCCCAACAUUUGCUGUGAGUACUUUUUAGUCUACUUAGUAGUCAAUCACAUUUUACCAGUUAAGAACUUUUUCUAUAAAGUUUUCCCCAUUCAAAUUCCUGGUGUGGUUUCUUUUUCUUGACUGGAUCAUGACUGAUUAAAUAACAUAGUUACUGGGCUCCUGUUAGAUACAAUACACUAUGUUAGGUACUGGAGACACAGCAGUAAAGAAGACAGACAAGGUUCCUGUCCUCAACACCCCUACAGUUUCCAUGUAAUAAACAAG
rnacentral:lncRNA from 10 species